rnacentral:lncRNA from 1 species
CUUCAGAGCUAAAAUACUGUAUUAAAAAGUUUUGAGCCUGAGGGAUAUGGAAUGGAAGAGAGAAUUCUGUAUUGUAACUGCUCUUCUGUACUUUUGGAAUGCAAGUAUUUAUUUCCUUCCCAAAAUUGAAAUGGAGAAAUUUUCAUAAGCAAGUCAGUAAAAUAUUUGAUUCUAAUGUUUUUCUUUAACACAUUUUGCCUUUCUGAAUACUUUUGCGCAUGGAGCUAGACAGAUGUGAGGAAUUACAAGUGACUUAGUUAACCAAACAUGCACCAGUCCCCUGAUGGACCCUUGUAAUUUAUUUUAGACAGUUGUCUAAAUGUAGCACAUUUUCUGCUCUCAAUCCAGAAUGGCUAAAUUUAUGGUCUACUCUCACUUGACAAUUGUGAUUCUGAUAUGUCCUUUCUGUUGAGUAGUGAAUUUUACCUUUUGGAUCAUCCAACAGAAGUGGUGGGUGCCAUUUGUUCAUUUGGUCUGGCUGAGUACCGUGCUCUGCUUUGGGCACCGGAGCAGGGUCUCCAGGCUGUGGGAGACCCAUCCAGGGCCUGGCACGGGAGGGACUGGCCUGUAUUUCAAUCUGAAAAUGAGACAGAAGUUGAUGUUUUGGUGCUGCUGUGAAUGUUGUCGAGUUGUUCCAACUCCUUACUGGUUCCUGGAUAUGACAUUUCUGUAACAAUGAUCUUUCAAAAAUGCACCACUUGAAUACAGCAGUAUUCUUCACAUUUUUGUCUUUGUUCUCUUUACAAUCUUUACUCUCAGCAUGCUUUGAUCGUAUAGCAUAGGGCGCCAUGCUUGACAAAUGCCUCAUGAAUUUAUAGCUUUCCAUGUUGCAAAGACUCUGGAAGUUUCUUCUCACAUGGCUGCAAGUUUGUCCUUGGAGUUGACAUUCCGGUAUUUCCUCCACCAUUUCUCCUCUUAUUGGUUACUUAGGAUUUUUCCCCCAGUGCUGAUAAUUGAGCCCAGGGCCUGGAACAGGCUAGGCAAGGGCUUUACCACUGAGCCACCCCUUCAGCCCUCUAAUGCUUGAGUUUUAGAUUUCUUGAAAUUCUUGAGUUAAAGGGAAUAAAAUUUUAGUAGCUCUUGAUAUGUGUUACCAAAUUCCUUUUCAAAAAGAUUAUACCGAUUUACAAUACCAGUUCAAUGUCUCGCAAGAGUUGUUUUCCGACCAUGUGAGGAUUAUUUUGCGGUUUAUUUUCACAUAUCUGUACCUUUCCUCUCCAGGCAAAAACAACACCACCUGAGGGUAAAGGAGGAGUAAACACACAUGCACCUGUGUUUGUGUUUACUGUGAACGCCUGAGCCUCAGGUACUGAAUUCUAUAGAUAACCUCUCACUGAGAAACACGAAAAUAACCAGUUCAGGUCCAGGCCUCAAGCGUGGAGUGAGUUCCUAUUUGAAAGCCCAGUUCUGUAGAUUUUUUGUCACAAACAAUCUUGAAUAGUAAAGUGGGAACUAUGACUCUCUGUUUCUGUGACUGCAGGUGUCUAUCCAGAUAUGGGAAGCUUCAGGGAAGGGUUCCUGUUCCUCUGAUGACAUGCAACCAGCGAGGGGCUGGUACAGGGAGCAGACGUGGGACCCACACACACAUGGAGGAAAUGGUUUCCUUCCACCCUGCUGUCAGCCCCCUUUAUGAAGGAAUUCUACCAUCCCUGGGAGCCUCUGAUUAGAAGGCCACACACAUUUAGAUUUUAGAGAGUUUUCCUGAGAAC